CAAGAACACGCCCAACUCUGCCCGCCAGCUCCCACCCAGCCAGGGAAGGACCCAACACACCGGUACCCGCGACUCAGCCGGCGGCUGAACCCAGUCUGGGGACAGCAGCCCAGCACUCACCAUGACCCGCCACAUCUCCCAGUCUGCGGAAGGCAGCUCCUAACUCACCAUAGUGCAACAGCCCAGCUUGCCUGUGCUCUCAACACAGCUCCCGGCAGCAGGAUCCAUGGCGCAGCACGCGUGACAACUUCCGCUUUCGUCAACUCUGAAGCUCAGCCACGGUCGGUCCGGACAAAAGCCCUCUGGCAGGUACGCUGGAGGCGCUGAUUGGAAAGGGAGGCUGAGCGGAGGCUGAGCGACAGGACCUGAUCAGAGUUUCCUAGCUGUCGUGGAAAUGAAUCUACUAAUAUUGUAUUGCCUGCGACCCCAUGGCCCCUCAGUCAGCAUCCCACCAGCCACUCAAGCAAUAGCCUGCUGGAGCUUCUGGUUUCGUGCUCCAGACUCUGUCACAGCCGCCACACGCCUGUGGUACAGAAGUUAAGGUACUCCACAAUAAUCGUCUUGAAGCUCAUAAACCGCCUCUCUCACUGAACUCAGCAAAGUUCCAACAAGUCUCAUAUACUUGUGUAUAUGGGUAACACCAGCUUUUCCGUGUACUAUUUGCUUAUUAGAAGAUUUUGGACAUAUAUUUAUCACCUGUUCAUUGUGUAUACCUUUUGGAAUACUGACGUGGUAUGAAAUUAAAUGGACUGGAACUUUACAUGGGGCCGUGAGUCAAAA